GAUGAACGCUGGCGGCGUGCCUAAUACAUGCAAGCCGAGCGAAUGGAUUAAGAGCUUGCUCUUAUGAAGUUAGCGGCGGACGGGUGAGUAACACGUGGGUAACCUGCCCAUAAGACUGGGAUAACUCCGGGAAACCGGGGCUAAUACCGGAUAACAUUUUGAACCGCAUGGUUCGAAAUUGAAAGGCGGCUUCGGCUGUCACUUAUGGAUGGACCCGCGUCGCAUUAGCUAGUUGGGGAGGUAACGGCUCACCAAGGCAACGAUGCGUAGCCGACCUGAGAGGGUGAUCCGCCACACUGGGACGGAGACACGGCCCAGACUCCUACGUGAGGCAGCAGUAGGGAAGCUUCCGCAAUGGACGAAAGUCUGACGGAGCAACGCCGCGUGAGUGAUGAAGGCUUUCGGGUCGUAAAACUCUGUUGUUAGGGAAGAACAAGUGCUAGUUGAAUAAGCUGGCACCUUGACGGUACCUAACCAGAAAGCCACGGCUAACUACGUGCCAGCCGCCGCCGUAA
rnacentral:rRNA from 1 species